GAGUGUGUUGACGCUGGAGUGUGUUGACAUUAGAGUGUGUUGAUGAUGGAGUGUGUUGACGAUGGAGUGUGUUGUCAUUAGAGUGUGUUGACGAUGGAGUGUGUUGUCAUUAGAGUGUGUUGACGCUGGAGUGUGUUGUCAUUAGAGUGUGCUGACGCUGGAGGGUAUUAGUUUUGAAGUGUGUUGACGAUGGAGUAAGGUCAUUAGAGUGUGUUGUCGAUGGCGUGUGUAAUUUUGGAGUAUGUCGACGCUGGAGUGUGUUAAUUUUGGAGUGUGUCGACGCUGAGUGUUUUAAUUUUGGAGUGUGUUGUCGAUGGAGUGUGUAAUUUUGGAGUAUGUCGACGCUGGAGUGUGUUAAUUUUGGAGUGUGUCGACGCUGGAGUGUUUUAAUUUUGGAGUGUGUUGUCGAGUGGGAUGCGUCAGGCCAGAGUUACAUUAUACGAGCAAGUGAACAGAAAGUGAC